GAUGAACGCUGGCGGCGUGCCUAAUACAUGCAAGUCGAGCGAACAGACGAGGAGCUUGCUCCUUUGACGUUUGCGGCGGACGGGUGUGUAACACGUAGGUAACCUACCUAUACGACGGGUAUAACUUCGGGAAACCGGAUCUAAUACCGUAUAAUAUUUCAAACCGCAUGGUUCGAUAGUGAAAUAUGGCUUUGCUAUUACUUAUAGAUGGACCUUCGCCGUAUUAGCUAGUUGGUAAGGUAACGGCUUACCAAGGCAACGAUAAGUAGCCGACCUGAGAGGGUGAUCGGCCACACUGGAACUGAGACACGGUCCAGACUCCUACGGGAGGAAGCAGUAGGGAAUCUUCCGCAAUGGGCGAAAGCCUGACGGAGCAACGCCGCGUGAGUGAUGAAGGUCUUCGGAUCGUAAAACUCUGUUAUUAGGGAAGAACAAACGUGUAAGUAAAUGUGCACGUCUUGACGGUACCUAAUCAGAAAGCCACGGCUAACUACGUG
rnacentral:rRNA from 1 species